rnacentral:rRNA from 1 species
GUGCCAGCCGCCGCGGUAAUACGUAGGUGGCAAGCGUUGUCCGGAUUUAUUGGGCGUAAAGCGAGCGCAGGCGGUUUCUUAAGUCUGAUGUGAAAGCCUUCGGCUCAACCGAAGAAGUGCAUCGGAAACUGGGAAACUUGAGUGCAGAAGAGGACAGUGGAACUCCAUGUGUAGCGGUGAAAUGCGUAGAUAUAUGGAAGAACACCAGUGGCGAAGGCGGCUGUCUGGUCUGUAACUGACGCUGAGGCUCGAAAGCAUGGGUAGCAAACAGGAUUAGAUACCCUGGUAGUCCAUGCCGUAAACGAUGAGUGCUAGGUGUUGGAGGGUUUCCGCCCUUCAGUGCCGCAGCUAACGCAUUAAGCACUCCGCCUGGGGAGUACGACCGCAAGGUUGAAACUCAAAGGAAUUGACGGGGGCCCGCACAAGCGGUGGAGCAUGUGGUUUAAUUCGAAGCAACGCGAAGAACCUUACCAGGUCUUGACAUCCUUUGACCACUCUAGAGAUAGAGCUUUCCCUUCGGGGACAAAGUGACAGGUGGUGCAUGGUUGUCGUCAGCUCGUGUCGUGAGAUGUUGGGUUAAGUCCCGCAACGAGCGCAACCCUUAUUACUAGUUGCCAGCAUUAAGUUGGGCACUCUAGUGAGACUGCCGGUGACAAACCGGAGGAAGGUGGGGACGACGUCAAAUCAUCAUGCCCCUUAUGACCUGGGCUACACACGUGCUACAAUGGAUGGUACAACGAGUUGCGAGACCGCGAGGUUUAGCUAAUCUCUUAAAACCAUUCUCAGUUCGGAUUGUAGGCUGCAACUCGCCUACAUGAAGCCGGAAUCGCUAGUAAUCGCGGAUCAGCAUGCCGCGGUGAAUACGUUCCCGGGCCUUGUACACACCGCCCGU